rnacentral:rRNA from 1 species
AACACAUGCAAGUCGAACGGAAAGGCCCUGCUUUUGUGGGGUGCUCGAGUGGCGAACGGGUGAGUAACACGUGAGUAACCUGCCCUUGACUUUGGGAUAACUUCAGGAAACUGGGGCUAAUACCGGAUAGGAGCUCCUGCUGCAUGGUGGGGGUUGGAAAGUUUCGGCGGUUGGGGAUGGACUCGCGGCUUAUCAGCUUGUUGGUGGGGUAGUGGCUUACCAAGGCUUUGACGGGUAGCCGGCCUGAGAGGGUGACCGGCCACAUUGGGACUGAGAUACGGCCCAGACUCCUACGGGAGGCAGCAGUGGGGAAUAUUGCACAAUGGGCGGAAGCCUGAUGCAGCAACGCCGCGUGCGGGAUGACGGCCUUCGGGUUGUAAACCGCUUUCGCCUGUGACGAAGCGUGAGUGACGGUAAUGGGUAAAGAAGCACCGGCUAACUACGUGCCAGCAGCCGCGGUGAUACGUAGGGUGCGAGCGUUGUCCGGAUUUAUUGGGCGUAAAGGGCUCGUAGGUGGUUGAUCGCGUCGGAAGUGUAAUCUUGGGGCUUAACCCUGAGCGUGCUUUCGAUACGGGUUGACUUGAGGAAGGUAGGGGAGAAUGGAAUUCCUGGUGGAGCGGUGGAAUGCGCAGAUAUCAGGAGGAACACCAGUGGCGAAGGCGGUUCUCUGGGCCUUUCCUGACGCUGAGGAGCGAAAGCGUGGGGAGCGAACAGGCUUAGAUACCCUGGUAGUCCACGCUGUAAACGGUGGGUACUAGGUGUGGGGUCCAUUCCACGGGUUCCGUGCCGUAGCUAACGCUUUAAGUACCCCGCCUGGGGAGUACGGCCGCAAGGCUAAAACUCAAAGGAAUUGACGGGGCCCCGCACAAGCGGCGGAGCAUGCGGAUUAAUUCGAUGCAACGCGUAGAACCUUACCUGGGUUUGACAUGGAUCGGGAGUGCUCAGAGAUGGGUGUGCCUCUUUUGGGGUCGGUUCACAGGUGGUGCAUGGCUGUCGUCAGCUCGUGUCGUGAGAUGUUGGGUUAAGUCCCGCAACGAGCGCAACCCUUGUUCACUGUUGCCAGCACGUUAUGGUGGGGACUCAGUGGAGACCGCCGGGGUCAACUCGGAGGAAGGUGGGGAUGACGUCAAGUCAUCAUGCCCCUUAUGUCCAGGGCUUCACGCAUGCUACAAUGGCUGGUACAGAGAGUGGCGAGCCUGUGAGGGCGAGCGAAUCUCGGAAAGCCGGUCUCAGUUCGGAUUGGGGUCUGCAACUCGACCUCAUGAAGUCGGAGUCGCUAGUAAUCGCAGAUCAGCAACGCUGCGGUGAAUACGUUCCCGGGGCUUGUACACACCGCCCGUCAAGUCAUGAAAGUUGGUAACACCCGAAGCCGGUGGCCUAACCGUUGUGGGGGAGCCGUCGAAGGUGGGACUGGUGAUUAGGACUAA